GGACCUGACUGCUAUCGGAUUGAUANUAAGCCAUGCGAGUCAUUGUAGCAAUACAAGGCAUACGGCUCAGUAACGCGUAGUCAACCUAACCUAUGGACGGGAAUAACCUCGGGAAACUGAGAAUAAUGCCCGAUAGAACAUUAUGCCUGGAAUGGUUUAUGUUCCAAAUGAUUUAUCGCCGUAGGAUGGGACUGCGGCCUAUCAGUUUGUUGGUGAGGUAAUGGCCCACCAAGACUAUUACGGGUACGGGCUCUGAGAGGAGUAGCCCGGAGAUGGGUACUGAGACACGGACCCAGGCCCUAUGGGGCGCAGCAGGCGAGAAAACUUUGCAAUGUGCGAAAGCACGACAAGGUUAAUCCGAGUGGUUUCUGCUAAAGAAACCUUUUGUCAGUCCUAGAAACACUGAUGAAUAAGGGGUGGGCAAGUUCUGGUGU
rnacentral:rRNA from 1 species